rnacentral:rRNA from 1 species
UACGAAGGGUGCAAGCGUUAAUCGGAAUUACUGGGCGUAAAGCGUGCGCAGGCGGUUUGUUAAGUCUGCUGUGAAAUCCCCGAGCUCAACUUGGGAAUUGCAGUGGAUACUGGCAGGCUGGAGUAUGGUAGAGGAAGGUGGAAUUCCCGGUGUAGCAGUGAAAUGCGUAGAUAUCGGGAGGAACACCAGUGGCGAAGGCGACUACCUGGCCUGUUCUUGACGCUGAGGCGCGAAAGCUAGGGGAGCAAACGGG